rnacentral:rRNA from 1 species
UACGUAGGGUGCGAGCGUUGUCCGGAAUUAUUGGGCGUAAAGAGCUCGUAGGCGGCCUGUCGCGUCGGAUGUGAAAGCCCGGGGCUUAACCCCGGGUCUGCAUUCGAUACGGGCAGGCUAGAGUGUGGUAGGGGAGAUCGGAAUUCCUGGUGUAGCGGUGAAAUGCGCAGAUAUCGGGAGGAACACCAGUAGCGAAGGCGGCACUCUGGGCCGGUACUGACGCUGAGGAGCGAAAGCGUGGGGAGCAAACAGG